AUAACCUUACAGAAGAAGUGCCUUGUGUGAUCUGUUAAGGUCUCCACUAUAGUGUUCCUAGUGAUAAUCCUUCAUAGGUUACACAACUUAAUACCAGAUUUCACAAAAGCGAAAACGUAUUUGUAUCUGUAAGUCAUGUUAAGCAUGAUAAUGAUGAACAAUAAAAAAAGUAAAAGUAAAGUUAUCCCUGUGCUUAACUAAUUAAGCACUGUGCCAUGAAGCAUAAACAAGAACAAUUAUGAGGAGUUAAUCGUGGACAUGACCAAGAGAGGUCUGGUUUUGGAUCACAGCAAAUCAUCAUGGGAGAAGAACUUCAUACCGGACAAAGGGGUGAAAUCAUAGUAAUGUUCAUCAAAAUGGAAGAACCAAGAGACUUUGUAACAUGGCUGUAAGUAACCAAGGUAAUGGUUCAGACAUGUUGUGCUGAUUGUAGAGUGAGCAAACCCUCCUCUCUCUUCCUUCUACCACCAAACACGUCCUCCCAUUCCUGCUUCCUUUUCCACCCUCUUCCUCCUUGUCACCCUACCUCCUCCACCCCAUAUUCCCCCCUACUUUCCCAUUCUCCUUCUAACUUCUACCACAUCACGCUCUUCCUCAUGCCACUUCUUUCCCCUAUUUCUUUGAACCUCCUCCUCCUCCUCCUCCUCCUCCUCCUCUUCACCCUACCUCCUCUGAUGAAUAAUGGUGAUAACGUACCUCUGGAGAAUAGCAUCUCAUAGUGCUUACUUAUCCUACCGUUUUUAGUACCCCAUUAUAUAUGUUUAUUUGUAGUACAUUCAAGUUACUGAAAUUAGAUAUUUGUAACAUAGCAGAACAUAGUGAGUGUGCACAGAAGUUGCUUCCUUGAGUGAGAUUUUGCUCUGUGUUCAGUUAUGAUAUAAAUCCCUGUGCUGAUGUUACACUGGGCUUCAUAGAAUACUCGCAUAACAUUAUUCUGCAAAUUGUUUCAAUGCUUAAAGAUCUGGGACGUUGAUGUUCGAGGUUAUCACAAGAGUAUGUGGAGACUGCAUAUGAAGGGCAGCAAAAUGCUUCUCAUUGCCAGACUCGUAGUAUUCAUAAGUAAGACUUCUAGAAACACAAAUAUGAAUACUGUAUUGCUCAUAUGAGUCUCAGUGAAACGUUCAAUACCUUUGAGGGUCCAUAAUCAUCAGAUGACGUACAGUAAAUUGCCAGGCAUCCAGCUGGCAAAAACUUCUAAGAAAAUUAUAGUCAUUAAAAAAAAUUAUGAGUGUAUUUUCACCCACUAUUAUUAUGUGACAGGAUGGGAUGGUAUGGAUUGGAUAGAUCUGACUCAGGAUAGGGACCAGUGGA